rnacentral:rRNA from 1 species
UACGUAGGGUGCAAGCGUUGUCCGGAAUUAUUGGGCGUAAAGAGCUCGUAGGCGGUCUGUCGCGUCGAAUGUGAAAACCCGGGGCUCAACCCCGGGCCUGCAUUCGAUACGGGCAGACUAGAGUUCGGUAGGGGAGAUCGGAAUUCCUGGAUGUAGCGGUGGAAAUGACGCAGAUAUCAGGAGGAACACCGGUGGCGAAGGCGGAUCUCUGGGCCGAUACUGACGCUGAGGAGCGAAAGCGUGGGGGAGCGAACAGG